GUUCUCCUACCCGUGCGCUCCGGUAGGGGAUUCGCGGCUCACGCAGGGUGAAUACCCUGGCGCUUCUGAUCAGCACUUCAUGGCAGGAAGACCUCAGGAUAUUUUCACCAAGAGCUCGGUAUUUUAGAGGAGAGGUUUGAGGCUAGGAAGUGAAGUUUAGAGAUGAUCAUUAGUUAGUUUUCCGUCCAGGCACUGUGCCAUUUAACACCCAACCUUGUUUCCAGAACUCCUCCUCUUCCUCCAAAAAUCAUCUUCGCGGAAAUGAACAUUGAUUUUACUAAGAACUUUACGGAGAAUCGUGCAUGAAUUGCCAAUUUUCAAAACUUGGAAUAUGGUGUAGAGUCAGAGAAGCUCAGAAUUCCAUAGGACGUAAUGGGUCCUGUCCUGUAACCUCCUAUUUCAGUUUCUGGAUUUAUUGUGGGCUACUGCCGUCUAUGGGGUCGCACAGAGUCGGACACAACUGAAGCGACUUAGCAGCAGCAGCAGCAGCAGUAACAAUGUGACCAUCACCAGUCUGGGUCCACCGUAAGGAAUUCUGCACAUCGUGUAUCAAACUCUGUGGAAGUGGGUCUUAGUUGUGGCAUGUGGGAUCUAGUUCCCUUACCAAGGAUCAAACCCAGGCCACCUUCAUUGGGAGCGCAGAGUCUUAGCCAUUGGACCUCCAGAGAAGUCCUUAUGGUUUUGCUUAUAGAUCUGCGGAGCAGAACUUCCUGAUGGGCCAUUCUGUGGUCCCUGUGCGUGCAUGCAUGCUAAGUUGCUUACCAUCAUGCAAAAGAUGAAACUGAAGCAAGAAGACAUCUUUGACUGGAAAGUGAUUAGAACACCUAAUCCUCCAGUUAUAGCCUAUCCACAGUGAGCUUUAUCUCGGGUGAGCCAAUCAUGGCAAGGGCAGAAAGUAUGUUAGUUGCCUUAGCUCCUGGGCUGAGAAUGGAAUCUUAGCCACUGAGACACAGGAUGUAUCCACGUAGCUCUUAACCAUAGCUUUCUCUGUGCUCUCCUUCUCCUGUACUGGCCCCAGGUGGGAAGACUGGAUUUCUUCUUUACAUUAUUCACCAACAUUUGUACAUUUAACCCCUCUACAGCCCUGCCCUGAAUUCCAACCUAGAGCUGUAUUUGGCUCUAUUCUCAAAGCAAGUUACUGUGUCCACCCAGCAAGACUGACUCCAGGUCAUCUGCUUGCCUGCAACGUGUUGCUGUCAUUUCCUGACCUAUGCUUUUUAAAACCUUGUAUACUGACAUAUUCCUGAACCAAACCUAAAUGUCUCAAGCUCUUUGAAUCACAGGUCCAACAUCUGCUGCUGGUUAGUAAUUAACCAUUUCAAUAUUGCCUUCUCCCACACUUAGACCAGCUUGUAUCAUGCAUGGUAGGAUCAGAUGGUAGUUCUAUCUUUAAUUAUUUGGAGAACCUCCAUACUGUUUUCCAUAGUGGCUGCACAAAUUUACAUUCCCAUCAACAAUGCAUGAGGCUUCCCUCUUCUCCACGUCCUCACUAACAUUUGUUGUUCCUUGUCUUUUUUAUUAUAGCCAUUCUAAAGGUGUGAGGUGAUAUCUCAGGAUGGUUUUGAUGUGCACUUCCCUGGCCUGCCAGGCUCCUUCCUCUGUCCAUGGGAUUCUCCAGGCAAAAAUACUGGAGUGGGUUGCCAUGCCCUCCUCCAGGAGACCCCCCUGAGCCAGGGAUUGGACCCACAUCUCUUAUGUCUCCUGCUUGGCAGGCAGGUUCUUUACCACUAGCGCCACCUGGGAAACCCAAUAACUAGCAACGUUGAGCACCUUUUCAUGUACCUGCUGGCCAUCUGUUUGUCUUCUUUGGGAAAAUGUUUAGUCAGAUCUGCUCAUUUAAAAUUGGAUGGUUUGGGGGAUUUUUGCUCUUGAGUUGCAUGAGUUCAUUAUGCAUUUUGGAUAUUAACCCAUAUCAGAUAUAUGAGUUACAAAUUUUUCUCCAAUUUGGUAGUUUGCCUUUUUGAUGGUUUCCUUUAUUAUAAAGAAGAUUUUUAGUUUGAUGUAGUCCCACAUGUUUAUUUUUGUUUUAUUGCCUUUGCUUUUGUUGUCAGAUCCAGAAAACCAUUGCUACGACCAAUGCCAAGGAGUUUUCCAUCACCAAUUCUUAAUUAAAAAGUAAAAAGACAAAUACCUCUGGCUUCUAUUUGAAUAUAUAAUAAGAUCUGACAAACCUUAACUCAGUAUGUUAGAAGUGACUGUGGCUACAAAAUAGCAAGUAUUUAAAAGAAAUAUUACUAAUAUUAUAAAGGAUACAGUAUAAUAGACACUCUUGUAUACCACUUGUGAAACUUAAAACUGUUAAGCCUUAUAUAGGGUGUUCACUAAAUAAUUUUAGAAAAAAAUACAUCUGUUUUGAGCCAACAGAUAUCAAUAAAAUGAAAUGACAAAUAAAUUAUUUGCCCUUUUCAAAGUUGUAUAAACUUUGGCAAAUUUAUUUUGGCAAAUAAAGUUAUAUUUUGUAAUAAUUCUCAUUAUGUUGAUACUAUUUUACUUUUCAUAACAUCAAACAAAAUAAGCUUUUAAAACUGUAUUUAAUUUUUAAUUAUUUAAUUUCAUUUAGACCAUGAGCUUUCAAGAAAAGUGCUUCCUGAGAAUUCUUUACAAUUUGUAAAAACAAAUUGAAAACAAAAAUUAUCAAAUACAUUUUAAAAUUACUGGAAUUAUUAUUAUAGACCUCCAAACAUUUUUAAUUGACUAUGAAAGAAUUAAGAUUUGUCUAAGCUAUGAGCCCUAAGGAUAAGAUUCUUUCUAGAAUUUGUGUUACUGAAAAGUUUUCUCCUGCACUUUAUCUGCUGUGUUCAACAAGUUGGUGACAUUAACAAUGCUGUUUGAAUACAAAUUAGAUCACAUAUGUAGAGUCCAUAAAAUCCAUCUAGCAGCUGACAGUGAUGAAUAACUAUUGUGCUUAUACUCUAAUGUCAAACUUUAAAAAUUUGAAUACUUAAAUUUUAACAAUAAAAUUUAAAGUAAUUAAAAUUUUUAAACUGUUAUAAAAUACAAAUUUAGUGAAUUAUGCUUAGUUUGUUCAUAUGUUGAAUUAAAUAAACUUUUAUCAAAAUUUUAAACUUAUAGGUGAGAAGCUUAUGCUUUGGUCUUGGCUUCACUCAAAUAUGUAAUUUUAUUAUUCAACCAUUUAGUAGUUGGUCAAAAUAUAUUUGACUCUCUCGCAUCAUUUAGUAAAAGUGAACAUGAUGGACCCUUUUAAUAAGCAGUUAAAAAUAAAUAAGAAAAUUUAAAUCCCAGAGAUUAUUAGAAUUUAAAACUUCCAUUAAAUGAUAAAACAACAUUUUCUUUGAAAAUGAAUAGCGUAACAUUUGAUUAAUUAAUAUGCAACUUUUUAGUGCUAAUAUAAAAAAUUUAGUGCUGAUAUCAAAAAUACAUAUAAUACAAAGCAGACAGUGGACAUAAAGUGUGGGGAGGGGAAGCAUGCCUGUCUUGGCUGAAUGUUUUGUUAGUUCAAUUGUGCCUCAUACAAAUUGUUUUUUGCAUGUGAGAUUUCAGUCACUGAAUAAUAAAAUCGGGGAAGCUGAAAGGUUUAAAAUAUUCCUCCCUUUGCCUAUAAUUCCAGGAUGUAAGCAAAUUAGAAUUAUUGUUAUGAUGAAUAAAAUUACACUUUCUAGUAGAAUGCACCACCUUUAAUUGGCCAUUAGACAUCUAAUAGGUCACCCAGGUGGCCAUGACAUGCUCCUAGUCCAGAAAAAAAAUUUUUCUCUUUGGUCUACGUCUUAUCUCACACACCCAGUACUAAAUCAGCCUUUUGCCAAGAUGAGAAGGCAAUUACCUCAUAACCAAAAUAGAUGAUUUAGAUCCCCUGCUACCAAAAUAUCUACAGAGGAUCACAAUAAAGCUCUAGGACCCCCCUCCUCCUAUUUUUAACCUGCUUAUUCCACAGUCUCUAGUCAUUCCCUUAUCUUUUGUUUGCUUUAAUCUGGUUAAGCACAGAGGAUCCACUUUUAAUUGUCUUCAAGAGACUUUUCCCUCUCCUCAACUGUUAUCAUUUUCUUGUCUGAGAUGCCACACUCCAAGUCACUCUGGGGGCUCAGUGCUCCAGCCACCAGCAAGCUUUCAAUCCCACAUCUCACAGGAACUUUGGACACUGACUUAUCCGAAGGAAACUUGGAGUAUCUUAACUAGGAACUGGGGCCCCUAUCAGCUUAGAAGCUUAGCUUUCCUGAAUCCCGAGAGGCCACAACAUCUGAGCCCAGAGGUGCCUUCCAGGAACAGAAAAGCCAGGAUGCACUUGAUGGUCUCUGGGCACGUAAGUUGAGAAAUAUUUUUAAAUAGUCCAAACCAAAUUUUUAACAAAUGCUAAUAACUCCCUUAUUCACUUUUAGCUUAUGUUUUUAUUCUUAUGUUUCUCAAGCACAAAGAUAAACUGUACAGUCUAGACCAGGACACAGAUCAAAUAUGAGAAACAGGAUUUAUUUCCUGAUAUCUUUGACUAGGGCUUCCCUGAUGGCUCAGUCUGUAUAGAAUCAACCUGCAAUGCAGGAGACCCAGGUUCAAUCCCUGGGUCAGGAAGGUCCCCUGAAGAAGUAAAUGGCAACCCACUCCAGUAUCCUUGCCUGGAGAAUCCCAUGGACAGAGGAGCCUGACAGGCUACCAACUACAGGGUCUCACAGAGUAGGACAUAACUUAGUGACUAAACCACCACCACCACCAUCUUUGAGUUAUGGAGAAGCCUGAUGGGACUCCCUCAUGCUCCCCAAUGACCACUGGGUUGACCCAUGGAAAAAAGUAGAGUGUAUGGAUGCCUAGGGGGGACCUUGGUCUUUCACAUCACCUGGAUACAUAGUGACAAACAACUAUCACCCAGGUAGCCCGUCUUCCAGCUCAGGCCUAUCCUGUUAAAUCAGAACUUUUCUU